ACAGAGGUCCCAAGCGUUGUUCGGAUUUACUGGGCGUAAAGGGUGCGUAGGCGGCGGGGCAAGUUUGAUGUGAAAUCUCCGAGCUUAACUCGGAAACUGCAUUGAAUACUGCCUUGCUAGAGGGUCGAAGGGGAGACUGGAAUUCUCGGUGUAGCGGUGAAAUGCGUAGAUAUCGAGAGGAACGCCAGUGGCGAAAGCGAGUCUCUGGACGACCCCUGACGCUGAGGCACGAAAGCUAGGGGAGCAAACAG
rnacentral:rRNA from 1 species